rnacentral:rRNA from 1 species
GAUGAACGCUGGCGGCGUGCUUAACACAUGCAAGUCGAACGGAAAGGCCCAAGCUUGCUUGGGUACUCGAGUGGCGAACGGGUGAGUAACACGUGGGUGAUCUGCCCUGCACUUCGGGAUAAGCCUGGGAAACUGGGUCUAAUACCGGAUAGGACCUCCUUUUGGAUGGUGUGGUGGAAAGUUUUUCGGUGUGGGAUGAGCUCGCGGCCUAUCAGCUUGUUGGUGGGGUAAUGGCCUACCAAGGCGUCGACGGGUAGCCGGCCUGAGAGGGUGUACGGCCACAUUGGGACUGAGAUACGGCCCAGACUCCUACGGGAGGCAGCAGUGGGGAAUAUUGCACAAUGGGCGCAAGCCUGAUGCAGCGACGCCGCGUGGGGGAUGACGGCCUUCGGGUUGUAAACUCCUUUCGCUAGGGACGAAGCGCAAGUGACGGUACCUGGAGAAGAAGCACCGGCUAACUACGUG